UACUUUUGUAAAUAGAAAAAAAAAAUUUUCCCUUACAGACAGGUGCAAAUAGUAAAUCCUCUUUUGCAACCCAGAACUCAUUGCUGAUAUGAGAUUUUGGUACAUGUAAGAAGGAAUAUG
ensembl:snoRNA